rnacentral:tRNA from 1 species
UAUGUUCUAGUGUAAGAUGCACGUUAGUUUUUGAUACUUUAGGAAAUAGUUUAAAUCUAUUGGACAUAA